rnacentral:rRNA from 1 species
CAGCAGCCGCGGGAAUACAGAGGGUGCGAGCGUUAAUCGGAUUUACUGGGCGUAAAGCGUGCGUAGGCGGCUUCUUAAGUCGGAUGUGAAAUCCCUGAGCUUAACUUAGGAAUUGCAUUCGAUACUGGGAAGCUAGAGUAUGGGAGAGGAUGGUAGAAUUCCAGGUGUAGCGGUGAAAUGCGUAGAGAUCUGGAGGAGUACCGAUGGCGAAGGCAGCCAUCUGGCCUAAUACUGACGCUGAGGUACGAAAGCAUGGGGAGCAAACAGGAUUAGAUACCCGCGUAGUCCCUGUCUCUUAUAA